rnacentral:lncRNA from 1 species
AACAUUUUGUUUCUAGUCUUGCAUGAACACAUUACAUCAAGGGAGCUCCCAUUAGUGAUGUUAGAAAUAGUACAAAGACAAUCGUAUAUAGAAUAUCCAAAUGACGAACAAGGGAACGUCGUGUUCUGGGAUAAGAUGAGGGAAACCUUAACUUAAUUUCAAUUUGAAGUUUUUCACAUAUCAAAAACAGAAUAAUUGGGAU